rnacentral:lncRNA from 1 species
CGAGUUGCUGGAGCGUGCAUGGUAGCAUCUGACAAAAAUGACGGCAAUCGAACCUACAAAAUAAGUCCUCGAUCAAAAAUGAUUCCAACAAAGACCCUCCGAUGCUCAAAUCAAAAAUUUAGAAUAGAUGGAAGAGAGCGUGCGUGAGAGUUUGCGUUCCUUGGGGGUCCUCGGUUUGUCUUUAUUUAUAGAGAAGGGAGUUGUAAGAGGAGAAAGUUGUGGGAAGCCAUCCUCACUUCCCUAGGCAUACCAUUUCAAGAUGUCCAGUCUGAUUUUCUGAUGAUUAAUGUCACCUUAUCC